rnacentral:rRNA from 1 species
GGGUCAGUAGGUUGGUCGUGCCACCGGUACGUACUGGUCUCACUGAUUCCUCCUUCCUGAAGGACCGUAAUGCCAUUAAUUUGGUGUUGCGGGGAAACAGGACUGUUACUUUGAGAAAAUUAGAGUGUUCAAAGCAAGCUAACGCUUGAAUACAUUAGCAUGGAAUAACGAAAUAGGACGAUCGAUCCUAUUUUGUUGGUUUCUAGGAUUGACGUA